rnacentral:rRNA from 1 species
CCCUUAGAUGUUCUGGGCCGCACGCGCGCUACACUGAACAGUUCAACAAGUCUUAACCUUGGCCGAUAGGUCUGGGUAAUCUUUGAACGCUGUUCGUGAUUGGGAUAGACCUUUGCAAUUAUGGGUCUUCAACGAGGAAUUCCUAGUAAACGCAAGUCAUCAGCUUGCAUUGAUUACGUCCCUGCCCUUUGUACACACCGCCCGUCGCACCUACCGAUUGAAUGGUCCGGUGAAAUCUCGGGACGGCGGCUUGGUCGCUUGCGUCCGACUGCCGAAACUUGAUUAAACCAUAUCAUUUAGAGGAAGGUGAAGUCGUAACA